GACUAUGGACAGGCAUAUAUAUAAUGUGGCGAGGUAAAACAGGUUUUUGAACGACCAUCCCUCUAACGACAGUGAUAAAACAGCCCAACAAAAGAAUACAAUUUUAAAACCAGUUAGAUUAAAGCAACAUUAUUUAGUCUGGGAUUUAUUCAUUAGUUGUAAAUGGCUAUGAACUAGCUUUCAGUAACUGAAACGACCGACAUACUCUUUUAGCAGUGCAACUACCAUACAUAUACAACUGUGAUCACCAUCUGUUACCAUGAAACACUUAUUGACCUGUCUACUCAUUUUUGUGACUGUUCAUGACAUUGAUGCUUCAUUAUGCACUACUGCCUACAAGGAAAAGGUUGGGCGUGUUGUGUUUGGUGAAGCAAGUGGGGAAUCAGCAAAAGGACAGCUAGAGGUUGCAUAUACGAUAAUGAACAGAAUAAGUCAUGCCGGAUUCCCAAAUUCAUUAGACGGUGUUGUAGAUCAGACAUAUACAUCAGGUGGAAAAACGUAUCAUCAUUAUAACACAUUAGAUGAUUCUGGUCACGACCAAAGAUGGAAAGCUUCAAAAAUACCCGGAGCAAUAGAACAUGCAGCGUAUAAUUCCGCUAUAACUCAAGCCGGGCAUGCGCUUUGUGCGACAAAGUCUGAUCCUAUGAGUUGUGGUCCGGUGAAUUUUUGUACCACAAAUCCGUGUGCAUCUACCAACAGUAAUAAGUAUUGGUGUGUUACCGAGAAAAAAAAGAUCGGAUCUCAUUGGUUUACUUGCAGCAAGAAAAAAACAGGAAAAUGCUGAACUAUGAUAAUCAAAAUUGUCUUAUCUUACGUUUCUAAUAUGAGAUAAAUAACAAAAUAAACAAAGAAGUAUGAAUAUCACUGA